UGGGAAUGGGAGUUUGUCUACUUGUUCAG
rnacentral:piRNA from 1 species